UUUCCGUAGGUGAACCUGCGGAAGGAUCAUUACUGAGUGAGGGCCCCUCGGGGUCCAACCUCCCACCCGUGUUUAACGAACCUUGUUGCUUCGGCGGGCCCGCCUCACGGCCGCCGGGGGGCAUCUGCCCCCGGGCCCGCGCCCGCCGAAGCCACCUGUGAACGCUGUCUGAAGUAUGCAGUCUAAGACAAUUAUUAAAUUAAUUAAAACUUUCAACAACGGAUCUCUUGGUUCCG
rnacentral:misc_RNA from 1 species